AACAAACGCUGGCGGCAUGCCUAACACAUGCAAGUCGAACGAGACCUUCGGGUCUAGUGGCGCACGGGUGCGUAACGCGUGGGAAUCUGCCCUUGGGUGCGGAAUAACAGUUAGAAAUGACUGCUAAUACCGCAUAAUGACUCCGGUCCAAAGAUUUAUCGCCCAGGGAUGAGCCCGCGUCGGAUUAGCUAGUUGGUAGGGUAAAAGCCUACCAAGGCAACGAUCCGUAGCUGGUCUGAGAGGAUGACCAGCCACACUGGGACUGAGACACGGCCCAGACUCCUACGGGAGGCAGCAGUGGGGAAUAUUGGACAAUGGGCGAAAGCCUGAUCCAGCAAUGCCGCGUGAGUGAUGAAGGCCUUAGGGUUGUAAAGCUCUUUUACCCGGGAUGAUAAUGACAGUACCGGGAGAAUAAGCCCCGGCUAACUCCGUGCCAGCCGCCGCAGUAAUAC
rnacentral:rRNA from 1 species